rnacentral:sRNA from 1 species
AAUAAAAGACCUGUGCUCAGUGCCCUAUGUUUCAAAGAAACCUGCCUUCACGACAUGAGAUGUAAAACCGAUCAUCUGCGGGAUAAAUGAUUUCCCCUCGAAAUGAAAUUUCUAAGGGGGUCUGUGACCUCAAUUAUAUCUGGGCCCCCUCUCUCCCUCUGCUGGUUUGAGGGAAGGGGUGGGGGGUUGUUCUCAUGUAAAUGGUUUUGGAAAUUCUUGUUUUACAAGUGGUCAGAAAAAACAUUAUUAUCAAUAAAAUGAUCUUCUCAGUUUAUGGUGAGAAAGAAUAUCUGAAGCAUGUAGCUAUGUAAUAUUGUGUCAGAUGAAAUAAAAAAAAAUGUCUCCCCACAUAGAACUUUUAAACUAUGUAGUGCUCUUGAACAAAAAUUCAGCUUUUGAAUGAAUUGUUGUCCAUAUUUAUAUAUAGCUUUAUCUUCAUUGUAUGUACCUGUUUUUGGUUGCUUGGCAACAUUCAUAUCUGGGUAGCCAUUUUGUUUCCAUGUGUAAAUGAUUUUUUUUUUGUGCCUGUGUGUAACUAUUUAUACGAAGCAGAAUGCAUCAUGCCUUCAUUUUAUCGUCAUGUCAUGUCCCAGAUUAAUUUAUUUUUUUUCCAAAGAAAUUCCAGUAAGCGUAAUUAAUUUAUUUUUUUUGCCAUUUAUAGUAUGAAAUGUACAUGAAAUAAAAAAAGAAAA